UACGGAGGGUGUAAGCGUUGUUCGGAAUCACUGGGCUUAAAGCGCGUGUAGGCGGCAAGUUAAGUGUUGGGUGAAAGCCCUCGGCUCAACCGAGGAACGGCCCGGCAAACUAGCUUGCUUGAGGUACGUAGAGGUGACUGGAACGACGGGUGGAGCGGUGAAAUGCGUAGAUAUCCGUUGGAACGCCGGAGGCGAAAGCGGGUCACUGGGCGUAUCCUGACGCUGAGACGCGAAAGCGUGGGUAGCAAACAGG
rnacentral:rRNA from 1 species